GACGUAGGGCGCGAGCGUUGUCCGGAUUUAUUGGGCGUAAAGAGCUCGUAGGUGGUUUGUCGCGUUGUUCGUGAAAUGCCACAGCUUAACUGUGGGCGUGCGGGCGAUACGGGCAGACUGGAGUACUGCAGGGGAGACUGGAAUUCCUGGUGUAGCGGUGGAAUGCGCAGAUAUCAGGAGGAACACCGGUGGCGAAGGCGGGUCUCUGGGCAGUAACUGACGCUGAGGAGCGAAAGCGUGGGGAGCGAACAGG
rnacentral:rRNA from 1 species